rnacentral:lncRNA from 1 species
CGACCAGCCAGGGUGAUACUCGCCCAAGGAGAGCAUCGAACUGCGACGGCAGUGAUGGCGACUCCGGAGACAGCAGUACUAACAUGCCUCGCUCGUUACUUUAGAAGACCAAAGCGUGAGAGACUCGUCACUGCUCUACUGUGCGACGUCGCUCUAGAAGGUCCACGCGAGAACGUUAGGCAAGUCGAUCGUCACGUGGCCCUUCC